rnacentral:lncRNA from 1 species
GCUGGCACCGUCCCAUCGGGUAAUGACGUGCGUAUUUCCCAUCCUCACCAUUGGCCUACAAGAAUGGCCUUAGUCCCAUUUUACAGCUGGAAAACUGAGGUAUAAGAAGGAGCUGACCAGCAGUGGGGCUGGGACUCGAACCCAGAGUCGGCUGACUUCUGCCUGAGCACCUGGCGCUACUUGGUGACCAGCGUGUCUCCAGCCUGAGGGUCCCAUCAAAAGCAAGUGAACUUUCUCGAUCUUGCUUGUCUGUGUCCCAAAAACGUUCUUCCUUCUGUAGGGCCUUUGCAUAUGAUGUUCUUUGAACCAUCUCCCCAAUCCCCACAGCCCGUUUCCUCCAAGGUCUCCUUUAGAUCUUAGAUCAGGGUCAUCUCCUCAGGAAGCCUCCCUGGAAUGCACCAUAGCCCCAAAGAUGGCGAGGAUCAUUUGAUUAAUGUGAGUGAUCCUCCCCCCAAACUGUAAGUUCCAUGAGGGCAGGGAGUGGGUGUGCUUUUCUGUUCAGCAUUCUAUUCCCCGUGCAUAAUAAGCACUCGAGAAAUAGUUGUGAAUGAAUGAGUAGUUAAAUGAAUGAAUGAAUGAAUGAAUGAAUGAAUGAACAGAGUUUUCUGAAGGAGCACCUGCUUCCUCACUAUCCAAUGAUCAGCUGUUUGGGGGUGGAGGGAAGGCUGUUUGGGAAUCCUGGGCCUUCUCAACCGCAACUUUUUAUUCAUUAAGCCUACGCUAUGGCUGUUUCCAGGCUCCUCCACCCCCGCCAUUGCCCUGUGACUGGAGGCCAAGCCCUGCCCUCCUGUUGACAGAGUGGAGUCUUCCUUAUGCUGAUGAAUGAAGUGACCGUUAAUAAGAUGAAACCAGGCCAGAAAAAGCCAAAUGAGGAAGCUGGCAGCUUUCGGGAGAGCUGGAGAUUCCAGGCCAUUGGAGGGCUUCCCAGAUGGAAAGAGUUCAGAUGCAACAAAUAUUUACUGACGCCUACUAGGUGCCAAGGGCUCCUUGGGGCUCGAUGACAAACAGCUCGGAGGAUGCUUGGCACUCUCAAGCCUCAUUUGAGCCUCCCCAAAACUCUGAGAACAGAGGUUCAUUGCCUCUGUUCUUCAGAAAAGGGAACUGGCUCAGGGGGUCAAAUGGCCUGCUGAAGAUCACCCUGCCAAAAUUUUAUCGUGGAAGAGUUUUCAUUGCUUUUUGAAAAAUCCGAAUGUGAUAUUUUUGUGAUUAAAGAAAAAAGUAUCUUAAAUUUGUUGAUACUUGACUUGCAGCUUGAUCAUGUGGCUGCUUUUACACCAUCUCCCUGACUGGAAAAAUUAUCUCCUCUUUGAGAGGUCUCAGAUUGACAGAGCUCGAGCUCCCUCAUUUACUGAAUCCAGUAACUCUUUCAGUUCAGUGACAAGACUAAUAGCAAUAAGUCCUUAAUAAGACUAAUAGCUAUAGCUUAUGAGUCCUCAUUACUUAUUGACUAAGUAGUAACACUAAAUUAAUGUUGAGUACUUUAUAUGCAUGAGCUCAUUUAAACCUCACAACCCCAAUGAAACAGGCAUAAUUUCUGUCCCAAUUUUGCAGAUGAAGAAACUGAGAGUCCAAGAAGUUAAGUAACUUUGUCAGGAUCAAGAGCUAGUGAGUAACAAAGCUAGGAUUCAAACCCAGGUAGUUAACUGCUAUACAUUGCCAUAUUAAUGGUUUUCAGGCUGUUCUCUGAGGGACCUCAGGGUUCUAUUUACCCAGAAGUGGAGGAGCUGGAAGCACAGAGACAUUUAGCUGGGCAAGCCUGAAAGCCUAGUCCACCCAACCAGGACAGCUCUGCUCUUAUCUCCUAAAGUGAAUCUGCUACAUCUUGUCGGACGAAGAGUACCCAGUGCUAAAAAAAAAAACAUUAAACAUAUUAUAAGUUGAGAACAGACAACACUCUUGGUCCCACAGUUGGUUGCAUGGCUGUGCUGCUAGCAGGGUAGUAGCACCUGGAGGCUGAGCCUUGUCUCUUCUAUGCAUCAC